rnacentral:rRNA from 1 species
CACGUAGGGUGCAAGCGUUGUCCGGAAUCAUUGGGCGUAAAGAGCUCGUAGGCGGCUUAGUAAGUCGGGUGUGAAAACUCUAGGCUCAACCUAGAGACGCCACCCGAUACUGCUAUAGCUAGAAUCCAGUAGGGGAGUGUGGAAUUCCCAGUGUAGCGGUGAAAUGCGCAGAUAUUGGGAGGAACACCAGCGGCGAAGGCGGCACUCUGGGCUGGUAUUGACGCUGAGGAGCGAAAGCGUGGGUAGCGAACAGG